UACGUAGGGCGCAAGCGUUAUCCGGAAUUAUUGGGCGUAAAGAGCUCGUAGGCGGUUUGUCGCGUCUGCCGUGAAAGUCCGGGGCUCAACUCCGGAUCUGCGGUGGGUACGGGCAGACUAGAGUGAUGUAGGGGAGACUGGAAUUCCUGGUGUAGCGGUGGAAUGCGCAGAUAUCAGGAGGAACACCGGUGGCGAAGGCGGGUCUCUGGGCCGUAACUGACGCUGAGGAGCGAAAGCGUGGGGGAGCGAACAGG
rnacentral:rRNA from 1 species